GGUUCUAUAGUGUAGCGGUUAUCACUCCGGAUUCUGAUUCCGGCAACCCCGGUUCGAUUCCGGGUAGGACCU
rnacentral:tRNA from 8 species